GCCAUGUGAGCUUACAGAGAGCUACACACCCUGACAGGAGAGAUCCUACUCAUGUUGGCAGCCCCCAAAAGGACAUGGAGGCACCGACACCUCGCACAGCCCUACAAAGAUGAGCAGACACGCAAACACAUAUGAACACCUAACACCUUUCACAGCAAAGGCUCAAAACUGGAGUGCUGUGCUCGUACAGGCCCAGCAGAUCAUUGCUUCCAUCAAACACCGUGGAUCACUUCUAUGGCGUUAGGAAUAACCAUACUCCAUACAUCACAGGUGCCACUGGCACUGCCAUUCUGCCCCACUGUAUGGAAGGAUUCUCAUUGACCACACUAUAAACAGAAGCGGGAACAGCUGUUUACAAAGGUGGAUAGUGAUAGAACAAGGGGGAAUGGUUUUAAACUGAGACAGGGGAGGUUUAGGUUGGAUAUGAGGAGGAAGUUUUUCACCCAGAGGGUGGUGACGCACUGAACAGGUUGCCCAAGGAGGCUGUGGGUGCCCCAUCCCUGCAGGCAUUCAAGGCCAGGCUGGAUGUGGCUCUGGGCAGCCUGGGCUGCUGGUUGGCGACCCUGCACAUAGCAG
ensembl:lncRNA